rnacentral:rRNA from 1 species
AUGGCCGUAGUGGAGCAAGUCGCCUCCUGGUUCUGCGUUGUCUUGGCUCUCCUUCUACCUUGCCUGCUCCUCAACCUGUGGUUGCGCCGCGACACCGGCGUAGCUAACCUUCCGCCCAGCCCCUGGCGGCUGCCGGUCGUCGGCAACCUCCACCAGGUGAUCAUCCACGGGCCGCUCCUGCACCGCGCCAUCGCCGACCUCGCACGCCGACUCGACGCGCCCCUCAUGUACCUGCAGCUCGGCGAUGUCCCUGUCGUCGUCGCAUCGUCCCCCGACGCCGCCCGGGAGGUCACCAAGACCCACGACCUCAGCUUCGCGACCCGGCCGUGGAGACCCAGCAUGCGGAUCUUGUUGGCCGACGGCGACGCGCCGGGCCUGGUGUUCGCGCCGUACGGCGCCCUAUGGCGGCAGCUCCGCAAGACAAGCGUCCUCGAGUUGCUCAGCGCCCGGCGAGUGCGGUCGUUCCGCCGCGUCCGGGAGGAGGAGGUUGGCCGCCUCGUUGCCUCCCUCGCCGCGUUUUCGCCGGGCAAAGCCGUGGAUGUCGGCGAGCGGUUAACCGCGCUCAUGACGGAUGCGGUAUUCCGUACAAUGAUCGGUGACCGGUUCGAUCAGCGCGACGAGUUCUUGGAGGUCCUCGCAGAGGCGCUAAAGAUCGCCUCCGGGUUCAGCGUCGGCGACCUGGUCCCGUCGUGGAAGAUCGUGAGCCUUUUGAGCGGUACUGCGCGCCGGGCAGAGGCGAACACCCGCAAGAUGUUCGAGCUGAUGGAUCGCAUCAUCAGGCAGCACCAGGAGCGUAGAUUGGCGGAAGACGUGGAAGAGGACAUGGUGGACGUGCUCCUAAGGUUGCAGAAGGAAGAUGGCCUGGAUGUGCCCCUCACCAUGGGAGCCAUCAAAUCCCUCAUCCGAGACCUUUUCAGUGGUGGGAGUGAGACAUCGGCGACGACCGUACAAUGGGCCAUGGCGGAGCUCAUGAGAAAUCCGAGAGCAAUGCAGAAAGCACAAGCCGAGCUGCGCGACACACUCCAAGGGAGCCCGACGGUGACAGAAGAUGACCUGACCAAGUUGAGCUACUUGAAGCUCGUCAUCAAGGAGACACUGAGGCUGCACCCACCGUUGCCACUGCUCCUUCCAAGGGAAUGCCGGGAGACAUGCAAGGUCAUGGGGUACGACGUGCCCAAGGGCACCACCGUGUUUGUGAACGUGUGGGCGAUCGGCAGGGACACCAAGUACUGGACCGACGCCGAAGUGUUUAAGCCGGAGCGAUUCGAGAGCGGCGCAAUUGAUUUCAAGGGCAUGGACUUCGAGUUCUUACCCUUCGGAGCAGGGCGAAGAAUGUGCCCUGGAAUGACGUUUGCACAGCCUAGCAUGGAGCUCGCGCUCGCCUCGCUGCUAUACCACUUCGACUGGGAGCUCCCGGUUGGAGUCUCACGAAGCGAGCUGGACAUGGCAGAGGAGUUGAGCGUCACCAUCCAGAGGAAGAACAGUCUUCACCUGCGCCCAGUCGUUCGUGUGCCCCUGCAAGCUGCCCUCUAG